AUUGAACGCUGGCGGCAGGCCUAACACAUGCAAGUCGAGCGAGCGGCGGACGGGUGAGUAAUGUAUGGGGACUGCCCGAUAGAGGGGGAUAACUACUGGAAACGGUGGCUAAUACCGCAUACUGUCGGAUAACCCAUAUGGGAUUAGCUAGUAGGUAAGGUAAUUGCUUACCUAGGCGACGAUCCCUAGCUGGUCUGAGAGGUUGAUCAGCCAAAAUGGGACGGGGACAAGGCACAGACUCCUACGGAGGCAGCAGUGGGGAAUAUUGCACAAUGGGCGCAAGCCUGAUGCAGCCAUGCCGCGUGAGUGAUGACGGCCUUCGGGUUGUAAAGCUCUGUUAAUCGGGAGACGGUACCGGAAUAGAAAGCCACGGCUAACUACGUGCCAGCAGCCGCGGUAAUUC
rnacentral:rRNA from 1 species